rnacentral:lncRNA from 1 species
UAUGAAUUUAAAUAAUUUUUGACAGCGAAAAUAUCAUAAAAUAAAGAUUUGGAUUUAUUUUCAAAUAAAUAAAUUUUUAAAUAAAAUAUUUGAAAUAACUUAAAAAGAAGGCCAGCCAUGAUAGGAAGCUAAUAUGAUAACACUAAACUCGAUAAGUUACACCAAAAUCUCAAGAGUAGUUUGAGACUUCGAAAACUGUACAAAGCAAAAGGUUAGGUGUAACUACAACAUUAUAUUUUCCAAAAAUAUUUACUUGACGCGCUCAUUCGAUCCUCUACGCGUCUCCAACCUUAGUUACCUGAAAAUGUUAAAUAUGGGAUGAGCAUAUGAAAUAUACUCAGUGUGGGAACAUGCAAUAAUUGUCCACGUUAAUAAAAUGGUCAACACAUAAGCACUGCACUGUAAUACUGAUAACUGAAAUUCGCACGGUGGCAUACCAAGGACUUUAAAGUCCUGGACCCAUUGAGUGGGCCCCUGGCGAAUAGGUUGCAACCCUAACUGUAACAUGAAAUCGCAUUGUGGCAUACCAAGGACGGUGAAGUCCUGGACCCAUUGAGCGGGCCCCUAGCGAUAUAACUGAAUUUACAACACAUAUGGCAAACACAUAAUAUUAAAAUGGACAAAAAUUACCACGGCAUGUACUGAAUAAAUCCCACACCUGUAACUUGAACUUGAAAAUUACUGCUAGAAAUGUAAAGUUCACGUUCCUAGUCGCGCCGCACCUAGUCAGAUAAAUUCAAAUAGUAACAUAAGGGCCUAAUUGAACUUUACAAAAUACCUUAAUAUAACUAAACUUGAGAAAACUAAUUUAUAAAAGUCUUUUCAAUAAAAUUUGAACUGAAAAAAAAUGAUUAAUUAAAUAAAUUAUAAUUGCUACUUAGAAGAGUAAUUAAAAUAAAAACCCAAUUGAUUAUUAUAAUUAAGGCCCAACCACUUAAUAAACUGAGCCCAAUUAAUUAAAACUAACCUAAGCCCAAGCCCCAAGCCCACUAUCAACCUCUAAUUUAAACUCACACCCAACUCCACUCCACACAUUCACACGCAGCUCACUCCCUCUCUCCCUUCCUCCCUCGGCCUUCUUCCUCUCGGCCUCUUGCCGCCGCACCUCCGGACGGCAGCGCCGUCAGCGCAGACCGGCGGCUCCGCCGCCUCUCCCUCUUCUUCCUAUCUCCCUCUUCCCUCACUCUCACUCCCUCUGUCCCUCUCCUCACCGCGUCUCCCCCUUCUCCGGCGACCCUCGCCGUCUGCCAGCACCUCCUCCUGGCCGUCAGCAGCGGCACCCUUGUCGCCGCCGUGUCGACAGCACAAGCCGGUCAGGCCGCCUUCUCCCUCUUCCUGAAAAGAGACGCACAGCCGAGACCAUAGCGCCGCCGCCCUGCUCCUUCCGCCACCACCCCCUGCUUCCUUCCGCCGGCCGCCAUGGCGCGCAGCGCCGGCGGUACUGCUGCUCAACCACCCCUCCCCCUGUUCUAAGCCACAACCCCCUUUCCAGUUCAUUCUUUCUAUUUUCCUUUUCUUCUUGUAAAGCAGUGAAUAUGCAUGUUUGAAUUAGAAAAAAAAUAAGAACUUUUGUGGGUGUUUGGUUUUGUGCAGAGAUGAACAACAGUAAAUGAAAUAACUUUGUAAAAUCAAUUAAAAUUUACCAGCUUGGAUUCUGUAAUGAGAGAUGGAAAUGGGUUUGUAUGCUGUAGGCGAAACAGACGAGGAAAAGGCGAAUUGGGGGACGAUGAUUUGAGGUUAAAUAGAGCUGCAAGAUUAAGUUUUUACCACAAAAAUGAAACGUGAGCUGCUUGUUCACGUAAGAAAAUUUGUGGAUGAUAAAGGAACCAAAAUUGUGGUUGAGAAAACUGGACGUGCUCCCCAAG